rnacentral:rRNA from 1 species
UAGUAUGAAUGGCACCACGAGGGUUAUACUGUCUCCUUUUUCCAAUCAAUGAAACUGAUUUCCCCGUGAAGAAGCGGGGAUAAGCCUAUAAGACGAGAAGACCCUAUGGAGCUUCAAACAACAAUAGCACUGGCCCUCAUUUUUACGUCAAUAGACACAACCAUUAUUCUGGCCAGCAUGACUAUUAGUUUUAGGUUGGGGUGACCGCGGAGCAAAAAUUAACCUCCACAUUGAACGGAGCUUCUCCUGAGCUAAAAAAGCAACGAUUUUAAGCACCAAUAAAUUGACAUUAAUUGACCCAACAUGUUGAACAACGAACCAAGUUACCCUAGGGAUAACAGCGCAAUCCAUUUCAAGAGCCCACAUCGACAAAUGGGUUUACGACCUCGAUGUUGGAUCAGGGUAUCCCAGUGGUGCAGCCGCUACUAAAGGUUCGUUUGUUCAACGAUUAAAACCCUACGUG